rnacentral:rRNA from 1 species
AUUGCCCCAGUAACGGCGAGUGAAGCGGCAACAGCUCAAAUUUGAAAUCUGGCCCCCCUCGGGGGCCCGAGUUGUAAUCUGUAGAGGAUGCUUUUGGCGAGGCGCCUUCCGAGUUCCCUGGAACGGGACGCCAGAGAGGGUGAGAGCCCCGUAUGGUUGGACGCCGAGCCUCUGUAAAGCUCCUUCGACGAGUCGAGUAGCUUGGGAAUGCUGCUCUAAAUGGGAGGUAAACUUCUUCUAAAGCUAAAUACCGGCCAGAGACCGAUAGCGCACAAGUAGAGUGAUCGAAAGAUGAAAAGCACUUUGAAAAGAGGGUCAAACAGUACGUGAAAUUGUUGAAAGGGAAGCGCUCGUGACCAGACUUGCGCCGUGGGGAUCAUCCGGCGGACUCCGCCGGUGCACUCCCUGCGGCUCAGGCCAGCGUCGGUUGUCGCGGGGGGAUAAAGGCUCGGGGAACGUGGCUCCCUCCGGGGAGUGUUAUAGCCCCUUGCGCAAUACCCCCGCUGGCGACCGAGGUCCGCGCCCUGUGCAAGGACGCUGGCGUAAUGGUCAUCAGCGACCCGUCUUGAAACACGGACCAAGGAGUCGAGGUUUUACGCGAGUGUUCGGGUGACAAGCCCCAGCGCGUAAUGAAAGUGAACGGAGGUGGGAGCUACGGCGCACCAUCGACCGAUCCUGAUGUAUUCGGAUGGAUUUGAGUAAGAGCGUAAAGCCUCGGACCCGAAAGAUGGUGAACUAUGCCUGUAUAGGGUGAAGCCAGAGGAAACUCUGGUGGAGGCUCGCAGCGGUUCUGACGUGCAAAUCGAUCGUCAAAUAUGGGCAUGGGGGCGAAAGACUAAU